CUCGGCUACCUUUCUAAUUAGAUUAGCGCGGCCUCCGCCCGCGCAGGGGCCGGCCUGGGCGCCGCCGCCCCUCCCGCAGACACCUAAUAUUUGUAAUGACGCAAUGACUAGGGCCAUUAGAGGAAGUUAAAAAUGAAUUAUGGGGCCAUAUUAUAUUAACCAGAUGCGGCUUUCGAGGGGCCGGGCUGCUGUUAUCUGUCUGGUCGAACGGGCGGUGGGCCAGCCCCCCGUGCAGAGCGGCCUCGGCCCUGCGCACCCCGGGUCUCGCUCUUCUGCAGUCCCGCUGCGGUUGCCAUGUCAACCAGCGACUGGGGUGCUCGGCACACCUGACCUGCCAGCCUCCGCGGGGCAGGGCAGGGCAGGACCGGAGCUCCCCCUCGGCCGGGCCCACACCGCCAGGAGCUGGUUGGCUUCGUGCGAAGGGUGGGGACGCGGCCUUGAUGAUCCAGGGCCCGGUAACCGCUGAGGACUCCCCGGUCUUCGGGCUGCUCCCUGUAAAGGGAGCGUAAGGAACCAUCCGGGGGAACUGGGGAUGGGGCUUGCACAGAAUGUGCUCUCUCCAAAGACCGCCCAGUAGCACUCCAUGGCACGCAGACACCACAUUUUCUUUAUCCAUCUGAUAGUCUGAGGACCCUCAGCUCAGGUACAGAGAAGUAACAUGGUACAACACUUCCUAUAGCUUGGGCCGCUUCCAGGUGAGACUCUCCAACGAGCAUCCUACCUUCCAGGGAGGAUGGCUCCCUAGAUGUCCCUGAGGACUGUCCCUGGCUUCAGAUCCGGAUAUUGCUCCAUCCACUUCAUCCACAGAGUUCUAGCUGCAGCCCCAACACUUGUGACAUCCAAUGUCAUCCAAUGGUGAGAUCGGCCUUGUCUUUCCACAUUGCAGUUCUGGGUCCUCCUGCCCUAAAGACAAUGCUACCUCAAGGCACGAUGGAAAUUCAGCAGAGACAACUCUCCCGUCUCCUGGAAACAUCUGUCACCACUCUUCUGUCCUUCAGACAAAACUUAAAUAAAAUUCAAUAAUUUUGACUUA